rnacentral:misc_RNA from 1 species
CGCACAUUGCGCCCGCCAGUAUUCUGGCGGGCAUGCCUGUUCGAGCGUCAUUUCAACCCUCAAGCCCAGCUUGGUGUUGGGACUCGCGAGUCAAAUCGCGUUCCCCAAAUUGAUUGGCGGUCACGUCGAGCUUCCAUAGCGUAGUAGUAAAACCCUCGUUACUGGUAAUCGUCGCGGCCACGCCGUUAAACCCCAACUUCUGAAUGUUGACCUCGGAUCAGGUAGGAAUACCCGCUGAACUUAA